rnacentral:rRNA from 1 species
AACGAACGCUGGCGGCAUGCCUAACACAUGCAAGUCGAACGAGACCUUCGGGUCUAGUGGCGCACGGGUGCGUAACGCGUGGGAACCUGCCCUUAGGUUCGGCCUAACUCCAAGAAAGGGGUGCUAAUAACGGUUAAUCUCUUCGGACCAAGGGUUUAUAGCCGUUGUAUGGGCCCGCGUUUGCUUAGCUAGUUGGUAGGGUAAAAGCCUACCCAGGCGACGGUCCCUAGCUGAUCUGAGAGGAUGAUCAGCCACACUGGGACUGAGACACGGCCCAGACUCCUACGGGAGGCAGCAGUGGGGAAUAUUGGACAAGGGGGGAAAGCCUGAUCCAGCAAUGCCGCGUGAGUGAUGAAGGCCUUAGGGUUGUAUAUCGCUUGUAACCGGGAUGAUAAUGACAGUACCGGGUGAAUGAGCUCCGGCUAACUCCGUG